CUUAACAUUCUAUUCAAAUGUUUCUUUAUUGAAUAAUUACAAUUACCUAUUACAAUUCUAUUAAAAUGUUUCUUUAUUAAACAAUUACAAUCACCUAUUACAGGCAGAGCCUGCGGCCCCAGCGCCGUGCGGCCGAGAGAGCCCAGCCCAGGGCCCGGGGCGUGCUGAGCGGCUCGGGGCCCCGCACGGUGCCAGCCGCGGCCGUGGCUGCCCUCACAGCAGGCCUGAAUGGCAGCUGCGGCACUCAGCGGCUGCUGACGGCUCUGGCCCCAGGGAGACCCCACGGCCUCAGGCUCCCUCAUUAGCGUAACCCGCCCUUAAUUACCGGGGCUGGGGAAACGGUUUGGUGCAAGGGCUGAGCUCCCCCAGCUGCCUCUGCUGCCUUCAGUCUCUUACCAGGAGACAGGAAAGGGAGGGGAGCCAAGGCAGAGGCUGCAGGGGACUGGCACCGAGCGAGGCUCAGGGCUCAGGGCUGGCACUCUCCUGGCAGCAGCAGAUGAGAGCAGUGCUGAGCCCGGGCCCUUUUUUGGCUCCUCUCCCUGCCACCCCACGGCUGCUCUGAAACCCCUGUCUCUUGUGUACUGGAGAAGGAAUGGUGUGUGUGCCAUCCUGUGCUGGCUUUGCUGCCAUCCUCAGCAUCCUCCACUGGAAGGUCAGGAGUGCUGUGCUCUGCCCAGAGUGCAGCUUGUCUGAUCUGAACAGACCAGUGAUCUCCUCAGCUGUGCUCCUGAGAGGGAAGUUCUUCAUUAUCCACAGAGAAGUUUUCUUGUAAUCAUGGUUCUGCUGUUUCUUCAGGUGCCUGAAUCUGUGUGCUCCCACUUGUAUUUUGUUCACAGCAACCUUAACAUCUUUCUUGUAGCUCUUUGGGAUGUGCAGGCAGCAGUGCAUGCAGUGAGAUGUGUGCAAGCUGCUGCAGCAAGACAAGACCAGCAGCAGUGCUAAGAAGGAAUGCAGUGAGCAGUGCUGCCAGGCUUUUCUCUUUGAGGAACAUUUGUGUCUCCCACCUGAUGCUAUCAUAGAUUUGAAGAUGUGAAUGGACACUUCUGCCAUCACUGCUGCACUCUGGCACUGCGAUAGCUUCACAUUCCCCUUUCCCACCCCAAGUUUCCUUCCAUGGUCACACAACCAUGCAGAGCACAAUAUCAGACCCAGUCAUUGGGCACAGAUGAAAAAGCAAGCAGCAAAUUUCUUGGUGGAUUGUUUCCCUUCCUGUCAGAUCAACAUCAACCAACUCUCUGUAUCUGUGCAGUUGAUGCAUCUGGAACAGAGUGGGAACACACAGCUGGGAGCUAGGCAGAAGCAGCUUUCAGCUUGGUGAAACUGAAUUGACAACAUUUAGCUCAUGCUAACCAUGAUUAUCAGUGUCAGCUGCUCAGCAAAGAGAGCUUGUCCAAAACAUGGUCAGAGAAUUUUGGUUCUCAGAAUGGACUUUGCAAGGUAUCAGCUCAGGCUGGCAAUGGAAACAAUUUCUGUUCUGUUCUAUGAACACUUCCCCUUCCCUUUGCCAAGGACAGGUCUUACACUGUGUGCUAGUUUGAACCUAGCUGGGACAUUUUGGUGAGAGGAAUUAGAUGCUAGGCUGUGAAAAGGGAGCAGUGGUGAUGUCUGCUGGACUCAGGCUUGCUGAGAUGGACAAAAACAAGAACACAAAUGUAGAUUACAGAGUUGCUUUCUGUCUCUUGGGGCUGCAUGAACUUCUCUCUAACCUAACUUGCUGCCUGACUAAUCCUUCUGCUUCCUAACCCCCCUGGCUGAGCCUCCAAACUCACCCUUGAACGUAAGGCAAAGUCUGAGAUAAGGCAGAGGGGUGGACAGGAGAUGGAAGGGUGGUUGGGAGCCUAUCCAGGGGACUCUGGUUUCUGGGAGGGCUGCUGUGUUUCUGUACUACUGGUUCAUGUGUGAAGUUCAGUAUCUAUUGUACAUACCUGCUUGUGUACUGUGCUGAGCUGUAACUAUAAAGCUUCAUUCCAUUUCCAA